rnacentral:rRNA from 1 species
CCGCGGUAAUUCCAGCUCCAAUAGCGUAUAUUAAAGUUGUUGCAGUUAAAAAGCUCGUAGUUGAAUUUUGAGUCUGGCCGGGCGGUCCGCCCUCCGGGUGAGUACUGUUCCGACGCCGGGCCUAUCCUUCUGGAGAGUCGGCAUGUCCUUUGUUGGGUGUGCCGGGGAACCAGGACCAUUACCUUGAAAAAAUUAGAGUGUUCAAAGCAGGCGUAUGCUCGGAUACAUUAGCAUGGAAUAAUGAAAUAGGUCGCGUGGUGCUAUUUUGUUGGUUUCUAGAACCGCCGUAAUGAUUAAUAGGGAUAGUUGGGGGCAUUAGUAUUCAAUUGUCAGAGGUGAAAUUCUUGGAUUUAUUGAAGACUAACUUCUGCGAAAGCAUUUGCCAAGGAUGUUUUCAUUAAUCAAGAACGAAAGUUAGGGGAUCGAAGACGAUCAGAUACCGUCGUAGUCUUAACCAUAAACUAUGCCGACUAGGAAUCGGGCGAUGUUAUUCUCAUGACUCGCCCGGCGCCUUAUG